rnacentral:rRNA from 1 species
UAACACCUGGUAAACAGAUGCUAAUACCGGAUAACAACAGAUGAUGCCUAUCAACUGUUUAAAAGAUGGUUCUGCUAUCACUCUUGGAUGGACCUGCGGUGCAUUAGCUAGUUGGUAGGGUAACGGCCUACCAAGGCGAUGAUGCAUAGCCGAGUUGAGAGACUGAUCGGCCACAUUGGGACUGAGACACGGCCCAAACUCCUACGGGAGGCAGCAGUC